UACGUAGGUGGCAAGCGUUGUCCGGAUUUACUGGGCGUAAAGAGCGCGCAGGCGGUCGUUCAAGUCGCGUGUGAAAGCCCCCGGCUCAACUGGGGAGGGUCACGCGAUACUGAUCGACUCGAAGGCAGGAGAGGGUAGUGGAAUUCCCGGUGUAGUGGUGAAAUGCGUAAAUAUCGGGAGGAACACCAGUGGCGAAGGCGACUACCUGGCCUGUUCUUGACGCUGAGGCGCGAAAGCUAGGGGAGCAAACGGGG
rnacentral:rRNA from 1 species